rnacentral:rRNA from 1 species
UACGUACUGUGCGAACGUUAUUCGGAAUCACUGGGCUUAAAGGGUGCGUAGGCGGCUAUCUAAGUAGGGUGUGAAAGCUCUCGGCUCAACCGAGGAAUUGCGCUCUAAACUGGAUGGCUUGAGUGAGAUAGGGGUGUGCGGAACUUCCAGUGGAGCGGUGAAAUGUGUUGAUAUUGGAAGGAACACCGGUGGCGAAAGCGGCACACUGGGUCUUAACUGACGCUGAGGCACGAAAGCCAGGGGAGCGAACGGGAUUAGAUACCCCGGUAGUCCUGGCUGUAAACGAUGAGCACUAGACGGGAGGGGCUUCGGCCCAUCCGGUCGCAGCGAAAGCGUUAAGUGCUCCGCCUGGGGAGUAUGGUCGCAAGGCUGAA